GGGUGAUUAGCUCAGCUGGGAGAGCACCUCCCUUACAAGGAGGGGGUCGGCGGUUCGAUCCCGUCAUCACCGACCA
rnacentral:tRNA from 3 species